UACGUAGGGCGCAAGCGUUGUCCGGAAUUAUUGGGCGUAAAGGGCUCGUAGGCGGUCUGUCGCGUCGAAAGUGAAAACCCAGGGCUUAACCCUGGGCCUGCUUCCGAUACGGGCAGACUAGAGGUAUGCAGGGGAGAACGGAAUUCCUGGUGUAGCGGUGAAAUGCGCAGAUAUCAGGAGGAACACCGGUGGCGAAGGCGGCUACCUGGCCUAAUACUGACACUGAGGCACGAAAGCGUGGGGAGCAAACAGG
rnacentral:rRNA from 1 species